rnacentral:rRNA from 1 species
AGGGAAUUUUCCACAAUGGACGAAAGUCUGAUGGAGCAACGCCGCGUGAACGAUGAAGGCUUUCGGGUCGUAAAGUUCUGUUGUUAGGGACGAACAAGUGCCGUUCGAAUAGGGCGGUGCCUUGACGGUACCUAACGAGAAAGCCACGGCUAACUACGUGCCAGCAGCCGCGGUAAUACGUAGGUGGCAAGCGUUGUCCGGAAUUAUUGGGCGUAAAGCGCGCGCAGGCGGUUAUGUAAGUCUGAUGGUAAAGCCCGGGGCUCAACCUCGGUCCGCAUUGGAAACUGUGUAACUUGAGUGCAGAAGAGGAAAGUGGUAUUCCACGUGUAGCGGUGAAAUGCGUAGAGAUGUGGAGGAACACCAGUGGUGAAGGCGACUUUCUGGUCUGUAACUGACGCUGAGGCGCGAAAGCGUGGGGAGCAAAC